rnacentral:tRNA from 1 species
GGAGAGGUGGCUGAGUGGUUGAAAGCGCUGGUCUCGAAAACCGGUAGGGUCGUAAGACCCUCGAGAGUUCGAAUCUCUCCCUCUCCGCCA